rnacentral:lncRNA from 1 species
CCGGGCUAGAAUUAUUUUCAGUAUGAUUUGGGUUAAUGAGUUGACUCGGGAAUGAACUCGGAGGUUUCAUAUGAAAUAAACAAAAUAGAUGAAACGAAAACAGCAAAUCAAGCAGAAUCAUCAGGUGACGGGGCAGGCAGAUUUGCGGCGGAUUACUGGGUGAGAAGAUCCAGAAUUUGCCGUCUCAUGGCAAUGGCGUAGAGGGAUCAAAGAAAGCAGAAAAUUUCAAACCAUUUUGACCCACCAUCAUCAAGCUUAAAACGAAGGCAGUGGUCAACUUCUAAAACAUGAAAUGAGGUUCUGGAAAAAGUUUCCAGCUAGGGUAACCCAAUUGAGAGGCGGGGGCAAUGGAUACUUGAUCGAGUGAUUUGGGGAAAAGGAAUCAUUCUCCAGGGAAUUGGAGCCGUGUGCAUAGAGAUGCUCAAGGCUCAGUGGAAGCUCUUCCCCUUCUAUACUCUUGUCUGCUUGGCCAACUUCCCAAAUCAAGCGAAUUCCACAUGAUUGUAGCUUUGCGGAUGGAGACUUCAACUCCUCUGAGAAUUGCAAAUCGGAUUUGAUGCCUAACUUGUUGAUUUGGUUGCUGAAGUUUUUUAACCCGCGGAUGAUAAGCAGGUGAUCUGAUUUAACAACUUCUUCCUCAUCUUCAGUGCUAGGGUCAGUACUAUGGAAAUCUGGUUUAAGGUAUAAACAAAAGUACCUUUCAUAUCCCCAAUCCCAGUCAUAAGAAAAUGGCGAGAAUUGUAUAUCAAAGGGCCUCUCGCAAGCAAUCACGACACAUGCAUCAAAACCCAGCAAUUUCGGGGACGGCCAAAUUUGGGGUAAGUCAAUCGUUAGGGACUUUCCUUUAUCUAUAUGAUCAAAGUAACUGGGCACCUCGGUUCCAGGAAAGAAAGCGAAUCCCAGUGACUCCUAUUCGAGGACAACAACGAAAAGAAAAAAAGAUGGAGAAUGAUCAAGUUCAGGUUGUUUGCAGUGGAGUAAUGGAAGAAUAAGCUGGAAACAUACCUCUUCGUUUUCUCCCUCGUUGAGAAACUGAGCGAUCAGAUGUUCAUCCCGUUUUAAACCGAAACAAUGACUAAGAUCAAGGUGUUUUACAGAAUGGUUCAAAGGAAGGGAAACAGUUUCCAAGAUUUCACAGCCAUGGGCGUAGAGAGACUUGAGGCACAACGGAAGCCCUUCAAUCGAUUUGAGUUUCUUGCACUUAUUAAGGCAGAGAGUUCUCAAAGAGGAAAGCACUUCGAUGCUGGAUGGCAAUUUCUCAAAUUCAUGGCUGCUAAGAUCUAAAUAUGAUAGCUUGAUAAAAUGUCUAAGCUGAUCUAAAAUUGAUCGAAUGCUCUUGCAGCCAUCAACCCAAAGCUCAAGCCAUUGGAAUCUGCCACAGUCUUGUUCAGCAUAAGAAAGUUCCAACAAUGAUUGGAGGUUUAUACAGCCAGAGAGUUUGAUUGUCUCCAACUGAACCAGCGCUGGCAAUGCUUUGAGUCUGCAACAGUUACGAAAGCUGGCAUAUUUCAACCUGGGAAGUUGAUUCAUGGUUUCUGGGGAACAUCGAAAGGCUAAAACAGAGGAAACUUGCACCAUCACUGCUGUACCUGAACCUGCUGAUGUCUACUGAAGUAAAUCCAUGGAACUUGGAUGUGGGUUGAGAUUUUCCCUGUGCUUUCUUCACCGAUUCCUGACCAUGAAACUCUGGCAAGAACUGAAGUGCCUGCCGUGUCCUUGUAGAAAAUUCAAGAGCUUGUUGGUUAUCAGGCGCUAGCUGAUCCCUCUGCAUCAUCCAUUCAUGAUCAAGAAACUCUGAAGUGGCCUUAACUUUCCGUCCUUUCCUCAUAAGCGAUCCAAAACCACAUAAUAUUGUUUUUUUACGAGGUUCUUGUUGCUGCUCCCUCUUUGUCAAUUCACCAGGUGCUUGUUGCUUCUCUUUCUUUGUCAAUUUAUCAGGUCCUUGUUGCUCAGUAGUAAAACUGAGAUGAUCUACGUUGCCAUCAAGCCAAAACAUCUGAAUAUGUAUGUUUCCUCCAAUAGAUAGAUUUGCAAUGGACCUCGUUUCCACUUCUUUACCCGAGAAAUACAAAGCAAUUUGACGGCCGCUCCUAUUCAAUUCCCUUAUAGUGAUAUAACUAGCAAGCUCCUCACAGUAUGAGACAUCAAGCGUCGUCAAUCUAGUAAGGUAGCUGAUGGACUCUGGAAUUUUCUUCAGCCUCUUGCAGCCUUGAGUUAUCAAUUCCUCCAAAUUAACGGCCAUUGAAAGAUCUGGAAGUUGUUCCAGAUUUUCAGAAUCUGACAAGUCCAAUCUUCUCAAGUUUGGCAUCCCCUGAGCAUAUUCAACAAAGAAUAGGAAAAUUGCGAGAAUGUUAAGUACCAGAAGAUACAUUGUUAUAAGCAUAGAUCUGUUAAGAGCUUUUACCACGGUUUCUUUCCAGAAGCUUGUGAGAUUGCUGCGAUGUAGAAUGAUUUCAACAAGAUCUUGCGGCUGGAAUCGGCAAGGGAAGGUUGUCAAGGGAAAUGCGUCCCAAUGUAGUAACCUAAGCCUUGAUGAAAGUAGAUUUGUAUCGUCACCACUGAAAAGCAGCUUGGACUUAAUAUGGUUCGAGUGCUUGUAGAUCUUGAGGAAUUUGAGAGUAUCGUGGUACGCUGUAUACCCUCCCAGAUGCAAUGCAUAAACCAUGUCACACAUAUGUAGUGCCAUGCAAUUGGUUGGUUCGCUUGUCUGUGGGAUUAAAUACGAUAAAAUUAGUUGGCCUACGAACAAGCUUAGUGCAGAAACAACCAUGAACAACAACGAUGUUACAGAUAGACACUGUAAGUGCUUACCGUGUUACG